UACGAAGGGGGCUAGCGUUGCUCGGAAUCACUGGGCGUAAAGCGCACGUAGGCGGCUUCUUAAGUCAGGGGUGAAAUCCUGGAGCUCAACUCCAGAACUGCCUUUGAUACUGGAGAGCUUGAGUCCGGAAGAGGUGAGUGGAACUCCGAGUGUAGAGGUGAAAUUCGUAGAUAUUCGGAAGAACACCAGUGGCGAAGGCAGCUCACUGGUCCGGUACUGACGCUGAGGUGCGAAAGCGUGGGGAGCAAACAGG
rnacentral:rRNA from 1 species